UUGAAAGUGAGCACUGGAUGCUGAGUAUUGAAGGCGAGGUGGUGUGUGAGGGCACUCAGCCCAGUUUCCUGUCCGGCCUUGCCACUCUGUUUGCUGCUUAUUACUAGUUUAAUCUUGAGUAUCAGGAGGAAGCAGUGUGUACCUUGGAGUUCAUUCAAAGGUGCUUUCUGGGCAUAAAUCCAGAGAGAGGACCCAAAGCCAAGGGAAAAGUGCCAUCGAAAUAAAAACAGUACAAGUGAUACAGAAGAAAAUGUGUGGCAGUCAACCCACAUGUUGCCACUCUUCUGUGCAAAUUCCAAUGGAGUUUCUGAAAUUCACACUUUGAAUCCUGGGAUGGAACUUCAUCUGGAGCAUAAUUGUUAUUUGGUUGAUUUUUAUCUGUUUGAUAGAAAGUUUGUAUGACUUCUGCAAGUGCGCGGCUCCUUCCGGUCAGUCAUGCAUCACUUUUUUUUGUAUGACUUGUUUGGCAAUAUUGGUCUAUUCCUUAAUGAUGAUAGCUAUCUGAAAAUGUCUUUGUGGUUUUUAAAGGAUUAGUUCACCCAAAAAUGAAAAUUAAGUCAAUAAUUACUUAUGUCGUUUCACACCCGUAAGAUCUUCGUUCAUCCUCACAACACAUAAUAAGAUGUGGCUCAGUGAAGCGUGCAUUUCUAGCAAGAUCAUUUCUUUUUUUCAAUGCCCAGAAAGUCUCUAAAACAUUUAAAACAAUUCAUGUGACUACAGUUGUUCAACCUAAAUAUUAUAAAGCGACGAGAAUACUUUUUUUGCCAACCCCCCCCCCCACCCCCAUCUCCCAAAACAACGAUUUUAUUCAACUAUAUCUAGUGAUGGGCGAUCUCAAAACACUGCUUCAUGAAGCUUAGAAGCUUUACGAAUCUUUUGUUUCAAAUCAUUUGCUCAGAACGUGUAUCAAACUGCAAAAGUCACACGAACCAUUGAAAUUUCAAAACACUUAUGACGUAACGAAGCCUCAUUUACUGAAAUCAUGUGACUUUGGCAGUUUGAUAUGCUCUGAUUUGAACUGAAAGAUUAAUAAAGCUUUGAAGCUUCAUGAAGCAGUGUCAUCCAUCACGAGAUACUGUUGAAUAGUCAUUAUUUAGUUUUUUGGCACACAAAAAGUAUUUUCAUUGCUUCAUUACACUAAGGUUGAACCACUGUAGUCACAUAAACUGUUUUAAAUAUGUUUUUAGUACCUUUCUGGGCAUUGGAAAGGGAAAUGAUCUUGCUAGCAAUGUAGGCAUCACUGGGCCAUCAGGUUUUAUAAAAAAUAUCUUAAUGUGUGUUGUGAAGAUGAACAAAGGUUUUAAGGGUGUGGAAUGACAUGAGGGUGAGAAAUGACAGAAUUUUCACUUUUGGGUGAACUGUUUUAAUAUGACCAUGUUGGUCAUGUUUCGGUUAUAACGCAGUUUGAAUAUUUCUUUGUGUCAAGGUCCAUGAUGGCCAUUAUGUUCCAAGUAAUAAAAAAGAAAUCAUGCCAAAAUUUCAUAUCCAUUUAAAAAAAAAUGAAAUAAUUUUAAAAUAAAUAAAAAUGAGUUCAAAAUAA